rnacentral:rRNA from 1 species
GAUGAACGCUGGCGGCGUGCCUAAUACAUGCAAGUCGAGCGAACAGACGAGGAGCUUGCUCCUCUGACGUUAGCGGCGGACGGGUGAGUAACACGUGGAUAACCUACCUAUAAGACUGGGAUAACUUCGGGAAACCGGAGCUAAUACCGGAUAAUAUAUUGAACCGCAUGGUUCAAUAGUGAAAGACGGUUUUGCUGUCACUUAUAGAUGGAUCCGCGCCGCAUUAGCUAGUUGGUAAGGUAACGGCUUACCAAGGCAACGAUGCGUAGCCGACCUGAGAGGGUGAACGGCCAAAAUGGAAAUGAGACACGGUCCAAACUCCUAGGGGAGGCAGCAGUAGGGAAUCUUCCGCAAUGGGCGAAAGCCGGACGGAGCAACGCCGGGUGAGUGAUGAAGGGUUUCGGAUCGUAAAACUCUUUUAUUAGGGAAGAAAAAAUGUGUAAGUAAAUAUGCACGUUUUGACGGUACCAAAUCAAAAAGCCACGGCUAACUACGU